rnacentral:rRNA from 1 species
GGGAAGUCCGCGCCAGGGGCGGCGGGAACGGGGGGGGGGGACGCGGUGUGCGGAAUGACGGGGCGUAAAGGGCGUGUAGGCGGUCAGGUAAGUGAGGUGUGAAAUGCCCCGGCUCACCCGGGGAGCGGCAUCUCAUACUGCUUGGCUUGAGUACGGGAGAGGAUGUGGGAAUUCCUGGUGUAGCGGUGAAAUGCGUAGAUAUCAGGAGGAACACCGGUGGCGAAGGCGCACAUCUGGCCCGAUACUGACGCUGAGGCGCGAAAGCUAGGGGAGCAAACGGGAUUAGAUACCCGAGUAGUC